GACGAACGCUGGCGGCGUGCCUAAUACAUGCAAGUAGGACGCAGUUGCGAACGUGUGAGUAACGCGUAGGUAACUAGCUAUUAGAGGGGAAUAACUAUUGGAAACGAUAGCUAAUACCGCAUACUAGUAGAUGUACCUGCGUUGUAUUAGCUAGUAGGUAGGGUAAUGGCCUACCUAGGCAACGGUACAUAGCCGGCCUUGGAGGGGGAUCAGGCACACUGGGACUGGGAAACGGGCCAGACUCCUACGGGAGGCAGGAGUAGGGAAUCUUCGGAAAUGGGGCGCACCCUGAACGAGGAACGCCGCGUGAGAGAAGAAGGUUUUCGGAUCGUAAAGGUCUGUUGUUAAGGAAGCGGUACUUAACCAGAAAGGGACGGCUAACUACGUGCCAGCAGCCGCGGUAAUUC
rnacentral:rRNA from 1 species